AUUGAACGCUAGCGGGAUGCUUUACAUAUGCAAGUCGAACGGUAGCACGAAGGAAGCUUGCUUUCUUUGGUGACGAGUGGCGAACGGGGGAGUAAUGUAUCGGAACGUACCCAGUAGCGGGGGAUAACUACGCGAAAGCGUGGCUAAUACCGCAUACGCCCUACGGGGGAAAGGGGGGGAUCGCAAGACCUCUCACUAUUGGAGCGGCCGAUAUCGGAUUAGCUAGUUGGUGGGGUAAAGGCCCACCAAGGCGACGAUCCGUAGCUGGUUUGAGAGGACAACCAGCACCACUGGGACUGAGACAGGGCCCAGACUCCUAUGGGAGGCAGCAGUGGGGAAUUUUGGACAAUGGGGGCAACCCUGAUCCAGCCAUCCCGCGUGUGCGAUGAAGGCCUUCGGGUUGUAAAGCACUUUUGGCAGAGAAGAAACGACUCUGGAUAAUACCCGGGGUUAAUGACGGUAUCUGCAGAAUAAGCACCGGCUAACUACGUGCCAGCCGCCGCAGUAA
rnacentral:rRNA from 1 species